UGGGGAAUUUUGGACAAUGGGCGAAAGCCUGAUCCAGCAAUGCCGCGUGUGUGAAGAAGGCCUUCGGGUUGUAAAGCACUUUUGUCCGGAAAGAAAUCCUUGGCUCUAAUACAGUCGGGGGAUGACGGUACCGGAAGAAUAAGCACCGGCUAACUACGUGCCAGCAGCCGCGGUAAUACGUAGGGUGCAAGCGUUAAUCGGAAUUACUGGGCGUAAAGCGUGCGCAGGCGGUUUGCUAAGACCGAUGUGAAAUCCCCGGGCUCAACCUGGGAACUGCAUUGGUGACUGGCAGGCUAGAGUAUGGCAGAGGGGGGUUAGAAUUCCACGUGUAGCAGUGAAAUGCGUAGAGAUGUGGAGGAAUACCGAUGGCGAAGGCAGCCCCCUGGGCCAAUACUGACGCUCAUGCACGAAAGCGUGGGGAGCAAACAGGAUUAGAUACCCUGGUAGUCCACGCCCUAAACGAUGUCAACUAGUUGUUGGGGAUUCAUUUCCUAGUAACGUAGCUAACGCGUGAAGUUGACCGCCUGGGGAGUACGGUCGCAA
rnacentral:rRNA from 1 species